rnacentral:rRNA from 1 species
UAUCUCUGUAGAGUCUGCAUAUCAAUAAGCGGAGGAAAAGAAACUAACUAAGGAUUCCCUCAGUAACGGCGAGUGAAGCGGGAAGAGCUCAAAUUUGAAAUCUUCAAGGUUCUACCUUGACGAAUUGUAGUUUAAAGAAGUGUUUUCUGUUGGUAGUUUUGGUAAAAGUUCUUUGGAAUAGGACAUCAUAGAGGGUGAGAAUCCCGUAUUUGACCAUUAUUUCCAGCUUUGUGAUACACUUUCAAAGAGUCGGAUUGUUUGGGAAUGCAGUCCAAAAUGGGUGGUAAAUUUCAUCUAAAGCUAAAUACUGGCGAGAGACCGAUAGCGAACAAGUACCGUGAGGGAAAGAUGAAAAGAACUUUGAAAAGAGAGUUAAACAGUACGUGAAAUUGUCAAAAGGGAAGCGUUUGACACCAGUGUUGUUUUCUCGAAAAUCAAUUAAAAAAGGCAGGAUUUUGUGUUGUAUUGACUUUAUCAGCUUUCUGCACUCUUUUCUUGUCUUUUUUUAAUGCACUUUUCGUUUAACAAGUCAACAUCAAUUUCUUUUGUUGUAAAAGGGUCAUUGGAAGGUGGCUUUCUUUUCGGAGAAAGUGUUUAUAGCCUUUGGCCUCUGCAAUCGGAGAGAUUGAGGUCUGCAGCGUAGAUCCUUCGGGGUUAGAUACAUUUGUGCUAAGUUAUAGCCUUUCAUAGACAACUUGUUGACUAUGAUCAGUCAUGUAGCUUACUCGCUUACGCUAUUUUACCUACGCUUAGGAUGUUGAAGAUGUAGCACAUCAU